rnacentral:tRNA from 1 species
GCACGAGUGGCUCAGGGGUGGAGCACCACCUUGCCAAGGUGGGGGCCGCGGGUUCGAAUCCCGUCUCGUGCU